UGCCCAUCGCCUGGAGUAGGGUUGGGUUCGAAUUGGAUCGAUCUCCUCUCUGUGGUUACUUAGGUUUCGCUCUAAACAAUGUAACUGCUUAGAUUUUACUCUGCCUAUAUAGAUUUACCUCGGAUAGAUAAUUUUUUGGAGAUACAGAUGCUGUCAUGUCAUUGGGAAGGCAUUACAAUUGGCUGUGUUAUUACUGGUGUGAUGAUGAUGAUGAGAUUUGAGAUGAAUGUAUAGUUAGAUGGCGUCCUAGCUCCUAAGUCUCUAAGAUGAUGUUCAAAUUAUUUUUUUUUCACCGGGCCGGUGGAUAGUGUUCAAAUUAUAUUUAAUAUAAAUUGCGAUAUAUAUAUCUCACCAUCUGUUUUUUUUAUUCUUUCACUUUUACAGUGUUACUUGCGCCUAGUUUCACUCUUCGUGUUUAGAGAUCCCGUGGUGCCACAUUCAGGGUUUUCAAUUUCGAUUUCGGCUAAAAUUUCGGUCAAUUCGGUAGAACCGAAAUUCCCAAAAUUUCGGCAUUUUUUGGGCCGAAAUUUUCUGAAAUUUUGACACAAUUUAACUGAUUUUGACUAAAUUCACAAAAAGCUGAGAGAAACCGAAAAUUUCGGCCGAGAUAUUGACUUGCCCGGGGGGGCGGGGGGUCCGAAAUUUCAAAACGUAAUUUCAUCCCAUGUUUGAACCAAGAGAUUUGAGGAAAUGUGAAAUUGGUAGUGGAAUUAUCUCUGUUUGAUAGGAUGCUAUUGGAGGCUGAAUGAUGAAUAGGAUGAACAUUUCGCUAAAAAAGUUGAAUAGAAUGAACAAAAAAAAGUAUUUUGAUUAUUCCAAGGCCUGGUUGAUUAGGAAGGACAAAAACACUACGCAGAGAACUUAUGCUGUCUUCUGUAAUUUUGAUUCAAAAUCUUGCACAAAGUAACUCUUUCUUUUAUUUUCCUUUUUACCUCUUAAGGGCUAUUUCUUCAAUUUUAAGAUCUUCGCGCUCAGCAAUGAAAUUGUGACAUACAACCUUGGAAAAACCAAUAAACUCAGCUAAUGUGUUGGGUGCUUCUUCAACGACAUCUGAUGAUGCCGUGCCACAACCAGUUGUCCUGAGAUCAUGAUGCAACCAUUGUGCAGCUAAGUUUUGGAGACCGUCUGAGGGCACUCCUUGUACUUGAUAUGCUUUUUGCUGGAGUGGGUGAUGGUAGUACAGUACGGCUUCUUCAUGCGUGAAGAACUCCUGUGAAGGACUGAAACUCUGCAAAGGACGAGGCUUAGUGGAGGGGGGUUGGAUCGGAGGCGUGCGACUGAUGCCAGAAAUUCUGAUCGAGUCAGAUGAUCAUAUUACUAGUAUAGCUGGCUAAACAGACGAACAGUACAGUGUUUUCGCGUCCAUGAUCUUUGAUCGAUGAGAGCAAUAGCAUCAUCGUGUUCUUCGCCGGCACGUGGUAAUGGGCAGAAUCUCCUGAAAAAGUUGCCAUGCUCAUGCACAGGUAAGAAUAGGAUUGAAAGGAAUUCACAGUGGAAAAGAGUGUUUUUGAGCCAUGUGAUGUGUUUGUUCUCCCCUUUCCAGCUUGGUUUACACCUGUGGUGAAUGAAUGUUCGAUAGCAGUAUUACCAUCAUGCAAGUUCCAUUGAAAGAAAUCACCCAAGAACCCGGACAGAACAUUCAUAAUGCUCAAGAACAGCCCUGGUGCCUGAAUUCUUGAUUCAUACGCCUAUUUGAAGUUUUUCGGAUUCUCGUAGAAUUUAAGUUGUUUGCUUUGAAAGGCCUGAUGGAUCCUAAAAUGUCAGACCGAAUAACUCUUUCAUCAUACUACUACUAGUACAUGAAAAUAUACGAGUUGUUUUAACGAGCAGCCAAGAUUAAACUUGCGAGACAUUUCAGCAGCAACUUUAACCGUCUGGCAUUCAACAGGGUAAGAUAAGAUAUAUGCUACUUCAUGCCAAAGUUAGCUCAUCAGGAAAGGCUGCAAAUAACAGUGACCAAUCUUGGCAGUUGUAGGUAGUAAACAAUUAGAUUAAGCUUUGAAACAUUUUCCACGUUUCAUGAACCAACACUCAAUAAUGAAGAUGAAUCUAUUGUAAUCAACCCUCCCCCUAGAAAGAAUUAUUCAUUGAAUUUGGAAUCGAGUACAGAAACUCAAAUUGUCAUCAACUGGUCAAUUCACAGAGAACUAUAUAGACAAGUAAUAAUUCAUUAACAAAACAACUCUGAACCUGUAGUAUGGGUAUGAGCAUAAAUCCCUUCAUUGCAAUGUUGUCAGCGUUCAUCGAUUUGACAAAAGAGGAGUGCUUCAAGAAGGAUCAAAGAAAACUCACAUUUCCACUAACUAGCGAUUUUGUCGUCAAAAGUGGGUAAAAUUUUGAUGCUUCUACAGCUCCUCAUGCCUCAUCCAUCCAUGAAGUGAAUCCACACUCAUCCAUCCAUGAAGUGAAUCCAUAGUUCCACAGGGAUCUCAAGGCUCAAAACCAGUCAGCACCUAGAUUCAACCGACGGCCGAGACAUGCCGAAUCACUGAUUCAUGGAUAUUCCAUUGGGUCAUGGCAAUCCUCCCUCCAAAGUCUGCCUGCCAUCAUCUGAAUAUCUUUGCUGCCUCCCACAGGUUGCCCCCACAAUGAUCCUCCCAUCAACAUGCAUUCAACUUACCACAGCUGUCAUUUUGAGGGGCUGACGUUUGGUGGACAGCGCAGUUUCGUCGAGGCAUUUCGAGGUGUCGAGUAACGACGGUUUCGACGGCAAACAGGAAGAAUCACCAUCUGCAUGUAAGUGACAAGUGGUUAUUGGGGACUUAAGGGAUAUAAUAUAGAAGACAAUAAUGAAGAAGAAUGUUGGUAAUCAAGGAAUGGAUUUUUUUUUUUGGGACGGAGGGAGUAUGUCAUUUUGAAACAGAGGGAGUACCAAACCAGGCUGGCAAGUAGUACUGACUACAGACGAUAUUGCCCGAAGCGUAAAUCCUAUCCUAGUCAGCACACAUGAAGAAAAGUCUACAUUGCAGAGCUGAAGAAUUUGCUGUACAACUUUUAACAGGUGCCUAGUAUGCAUAUGCAUUUUUUUUAAACACAGGUUGGUUUGCUUGCAAGAUACGCGGCUUUGGCCCAUCUUUCAACUAAAAGUUAUAUUUCAAUGGAAAAUAACAUGAAGUUAACUGAAUAAGUGAAGAUAAUUUCGUCUGAAAAACUGAAAACAAUUUGAAGCACAAAAAAAGAAGUAUCCUGAAAUGCUAAGCAGGAGAAAAUUUCCCAAAAACAAGCAUUGAAUGGAACAGCUAGGAGAUUCCACUACUUCAGCUAGGU